CGCGUAGGCGGAUUGGUAAGUUUGAUGUGAAAUACCUGGGCUCAACCUGGGAACUGCAUUGGAUACUGCUGAUCUAGAGAGUUGAAAGGGAUGAUGGAAUUAUGCAUGGAGAGGUGGAAUUCAUAGAUAUGCAUAGGAACACCGGAGGCGAAGGCGAUCAUCUGGGCAACGACUGACGCUGAGGCGCGAAAGCGUGGGAGCAAACA
rnacentral:rRNA from 1 species